GCUGGGCAUGGUGGCUCAUGCCUGUAGUCCCAGCCACUCGGGAGGCUGAGGCAGGAGAAUGGCUUGAACCCAGGAGGCGGAGGUUACAGUGAGCAGAGUUCACGCCACUGCACUCCAGCCUGGGCAACAAAGCAAGACUCUGUCUCAU
ensembl:misc_RNA Metazoa_SRP Metazoan signal recognition particle RNA